CGUGAUUGGGACUGUUCGGUUGGGCAUGGCGGAGUCAUCCGGGCCGGUGACCUGGCGGGAUAGGCCCGGCCUGGCUCGGCGCGGCAGAAAAUGCACCACUUAAAUUCUUACAUGCCAGCUGUUGUGGUUUGACUCCAGCCAGCAAUCAAGCCUCACACAGCCGUUUGCUCACUCCCCCAUGAGUGGGAUGGGAGUGAAAAUCGGAAGGGUAAAAGCUAGAAAACUCAUGGGUUGAGAUAAAGACAGUUUAUUAGGGAAAGUGUGAAAAACAUGUUCACUCUCCUGUGAAAAUUUAAACAGUUUAAUAAAGAACAAUAGGAGACAAAGACAGUAAA